rnacentral:rRNA from 1 species
ACAAGCGGUGGAGCAUGUGGUUUAAUUCGAAGCAACGCGAAGAACCUUACCAGGUCUUGACAUCCUCUGACAAUCCUAGAGAUAGGACGUCGCCUUCGGGGGCAGAGUGACAGGUGGUGCAUGGUUGUCGUCAGCUCGUGUCGUGAGAUGUUGGGUUAAGUCCCGCAACGAGCGCAACCCUUGAUCUUAGUUGCCAGCAUUCAGUUGGGCACUCUAAGGUGACUGCCGGUGACAAACCGGAGGAAGGUGGGGAUGACGUCAAAUCAUCAUGCCCCUUAU